ensembl:lncRNA
AAAACUACCUGUGGUCUGAUUCUUUGGUGAAAGUACAUCAGGAAAGAUAAUUAUUAACUCAAUAAAUCUGAACUCUGACUCAUAUCUGUCUGUGCUAUCACAAUGGGUUAAAAGGUAGUGAUAGUAAAGUUGACUGUACUGAAGAAACAAGACUGAUUUCUAACCUGUGCCAGUACCCUAGGGUGGCUGCGGAUGACCCAGGUCUUUCUCUGUCUGCCUCUGGUUCCAGGAGGCAUUAUUAAUUAAGUAUAAUAUUAAGUAUAUCUUGUGACACAUGUACAACACAGCAGGAUUGUUGAUGUGUGUAGGACUGCUGUAUGACACUUCAGCUCACCUCAUUAUAUACUCUACCUUUAACUCUUGUGCCCAUGGGCUUUAUGUCAGAACUUGUUGGUGUGGAAAAAGAUUUCUGAAGUUUGAUUUUUGUUUUUAAUCAGUUUGCAAUGAAAACAUAUGUUUGCCUUUGCAGUGUUACACCAUUCAUGGUUUGGAGUUAUCCAGAGUGACGGUCAACUCGAGUCAGCUAAUUCUAUACGACACCUUGGAUUAAACCUGAAAAUGAAGUCAUUGACUAUAACACCAGCUGCUCCACGGGAUGGUGGUGGAUACAUCGGUAGUCUUUCCCCACCGUCUGGGCCCCCCUCACAAACUGACCCUGAACAAGCUCACAGCUGAAUACCUCAGAAGGAUCAUUCAAGAGAGUGGUGGGUUACCACCAUGCAAAUGGUUUAUCCGUUAUUAUAAUAUCAUUACAUUCCAAAUAAAGAUGACUUAUUAAUAUGACUUAUAACAUUGAAUGCCACAGACUCGUGCAGCAGAUAUCAGAUUUAUUUCUGAAGAUGUUGAUUUCAAUUGCAUUGAAAUUUUAAAAAAUGAUUUCCCCCCCCCUUAGUUUGUGGUCAUGACACUGCAGAAGAUGCUACUGCCUGUAUGGAGCUGAUGCUGUGGAAAGUGAAAGAAGAUGGAAAAUUGAAAAAAUGAUGAAAAUAAAAUUAUUCCUGUACAAUUCAUAUGGGGGGAGGGGGAACAAAUACUAGCUGUGAUUCAAAUGUAUUUGUGUAAACCUCUUUCAGGACAUGGAGGGCAGUUUGGUUUGUUAAUGUGAUUUAUGUUAAUGAGUUCUGUAUGUAAAAGUUCAAUUUGGAGCCCAUCUUCCAUAUUUGUAUAAAUGUUGACCACAUGUAGUGCCAAGAGGACCUAAAGUGGUGACUUUUCAUGAGUAUUACUCAAGUAAAGGCAUAGAAUGAAUUUUGUGAGUUUUCUUCUCGGGGAGGCGGGGGGGGAAAGCAAAAUUCAACAACCAAUCAGCAUUCGGUUUUUAAAGUGAGAUUAAUUUCAGGUACACUUCUGCAAACUGGUACACCUGUCUUCAGUUAAAGUAAUUAGUGGUGAUACAUAAAGAAUAAAAUGAUGGGAAACUCAACAUACAUGAAAGAAAGUCUCAUGAAGGUAACAAAUAUUGCCCCGGCCCAACAUUCACAGCACCUGUUCCAGAUGUUAUUCAGCUUUCCUUUUUGCCUUUCCUUUCCUGACACAGCACCUGUGCAGGCAGAAACUGCAGGUCUUGAUGAAGAUGAAUAUGAUGAGUAGAACCAUAGUGAGGACGAAGCCCAGGACAUCCAGGCUGUGAUACUGGUACCAGGUGAGCUCAUGGGCCUGGACCCUCAAGUGCUUGGCCCUUUGUUUCUCAGUGUGAACUCGAUCCAGAAUACUGCCUCUUCCAGAGCACUCAUGGGUCUGUCGUGGUGGAUGCUGGACAGCCGCAUAGCAUUUUCUUUGUACCUGUGAAUGCGUUUAUAAAUGAUGUUUACACAGGUCAUUAAAGUUCGGCUCAACAGGGCUUUCUUGUGUUAGCUGACUCCAAGGAAAAAUGGUUAAAGGUAGAUGCUUCACGUUUCAUACUCUGAGCCUGCUCCAUUUUUUCCUUUUUAAGCCUGUUUUCAGUGCCUAAUUCAAAGUGCACAUAGUUCAGAGAACUCACGAUUUAUCAUUGAUGACUGUGUUGAUUACGUCUCUAAGGUCCUCAGCUGUGAUGAAGUUCAAAUUGAGAAUAACUGCAGCUCCUUUUUCCUUCAUAUGGACCAUGUUGUCUGGCUGGUCACCAAACAUGGGUAUGCCCACCAUGGGAACCCCGUGGUAGAUGGCUUCAUAAAUCCCAUUUGUGCCUCCGUGAGUGAUGAAAGCUCUAGUUUUAGGGUGACCUAACAAAUAACCGUGUAAUACUGAAAGUUAGUUUUCACAUGUGAAAAACAAGAAUUUCAGUAACCCGGAAUAAGUGCUUUGAGCCAAGAUUGAUUUGCACGUUCUAAUACUUAUGUGCAUUCAACUAAUCUUUAGUGCAACAUCUUGGGGAAAAAGAACUAACCAGAGUAAUUUGCACAAGGAGCCAUAUAUGUAAUCAAGAUCACAUCUGUUAGGAAAGUAUAAUUUAUCAAUUUUCCUUGUGUCAAUAAACAGAAUGCUCACAACCUGCAUUUAACGUUCAAUGCACGUUUAAUGUAUGUUAUUGCACUUUAAGAAAGUCUGUGGUUGCUACCAAGUUUACAUACCCAGGAGGUCAUUCUGAGGGAUCCAGUCAUAUAUUCUAGUGUUGGCGCUCAAGGUUUCUGGUUUUUCUCCUCUGUACCUCCACAGCACCUAUAAAAGGUAACAUAUUUCUUAGCUUACAUGUUUUUUUUUCUGUGGUAGUAUACUUACAGCCCAACUUUAAGUAAUCUAUCACAAAGUAUUAUGGAAAAACUAGAGAAUACAUUUCCUAAAGAAAAUGCAGUGUGAAUGCUGAUAGUUUAAUGUUUUGAGCUGAAAUGUAAUGAUUGCUGAAUGUUAAGUUAAAAAUGUUGAAUGAGCUGAAGAAGAGAAUUUUUCACCUGAAAAUAAAAGUGCAAAACUGUUUGUGUGUGUGUUUGUCAGUGUAUGUCUCUGUGUGUGUGUGUGCCAGAGUAAAAAUAGAGAUAAAUGAGGUUAGAUGAGUUUAAGUGUGGG